UUGUAUAAACAAUCGUUGGGUUCUAUUCUGGCUCCGAGUGAACGCUGGUAACAUAUUUUAACACAUGCAAAUCGAACGGAGCGUAAGCUCAGUGGUGACCUGGUGAGUAGUAUAGGAGAAUUGAAGUGCAAAUUAGGGAAAAUCCCUUAAUGGUUUUUAACCUAAGAUUUAUAUCGUUUGUAAUAAAGCUUCUAAAGGAUUAGGUAGUUGUUGUAGUAAUUAUUCAACAAGCUUACGAUGCUUAGCUGGUUUGAGAGAAUGAUCAGCCACAUUGGGACUGAAAACGGCCCAAGUCUUUUAAAGGGCAGCAGUGGAGAAUAUUUGACAAUGGGCGAAAGCCUGAUCGAGUAAUGUUACGUGGGUGAUGAGAAGGCUUAAUUGCCGUAAAACCCGUUUCGUCAAGGAUUAUAAUGCAAUCGUACUUGAAGGAGAAGCCCUGACUAACUUCGUGCCAGCAGUCGCGGUAAUACGGAGAGGGCUAGUGUUAUUCGUAUUGACUGGGUGUAAAGGGUGCGUAGGUGGUUUGUUAAGUUUCAAAGAAAAUAUUAAGCAUAGAGCUUAAACGCUUUUUAAUACUAAUAGACUAGAGUUUAAAGGAAGAUAGCUGAACAUUAGGUGUAAAGGUGAAAUUUUUCGAGAUCUAAAGGGCAGUCAAUAGGCGAAGGCUGCUAUCUACUCUAAUACUGACACUGAGGCACAAAAGCAUAGGGAUCAAACAGGAUUAGAGACCCUGGUAGUCUAUGCCCUGACCGAUGAAUAUUGAUUAUGCAAUUGCGUAAUUAAGCUAACGCGUAAAUAUUCCACCUGAGUACUACGACCGCAAGGUUAAAACUCAAAGAAACUGACGGAAGAUUGUAUAAGCGGUGGAGUAUGUGGUUUAAUUUGAUAUAACGCAAAGAAUCUUACCAACCCUUGAAUAUAGGUUAUUUCGCUGUUUGCUUUUGGAUUUCCAGAAUCAAACAAAAAAGUAUGACGUUGCAUUUCUUAAAAUGGUUUUUCAUUGAUCUAUACAGGUGCUGCAUGGUUGUCGGCAGUUCGUGUUGUGAAAUGUUUUGUUAAUUCAUUUAACGGACGCAACCUUCGGCUUUAUUUGUUUCUAAAAUAGAGCAAUUACUAAUUUGAAAAUUACUUGAAAGGAGAGGAAGUCAAAUCAUUAUGGCCUAUAUAGGUUGGGCUACACACGUACUACAAUGGUAACUACAAUGUGAAGCAAAAACGUGAGUUAGAGCUAAUCAUUAAAAGUUAACCUCAGUUCUGAUUAUUCUCUGCAACUCGAGAAUAUGAAGUCGGAAUCGCUAGUAAUCGCAGAAUAGAACGCUGCGGUGAAUACAUUCUCAAUCUUUGUACACACCGCCCGUCACGCCAUGGGAAUUGGUUUGGUUAGAAGAGGUUUGAGCUUUAUGUAGCAGGUGUUUAAUUUUUUUUGAUAUUCUGCUUUUAAAGAUUUCGACUUUGACAACUAGAUCAAGGACUGGGGUGAAGUCGUAACAAGGUAGCGGUAGGGGAACCUGCUGCUGGAC
rnacentral:rRNA from 1 species